GCCAUGAGUGGGCGCCGGCGGCCGUGACUCGCUCUGCCUCAUCAGCCCAUUCUUAAAUAAAGCGCUACUACGGAUCAAAAAAUGGAAAAAAAACGUCUGUAUAGUACCUAGCUGAGGAUCACCCCCAAUAUUCCAGAACUGCUGUGACAAAUUUGGGAAAGCGAUGUGUUUCCAUGCAUGAGGCAUCUGCAGUAUCUACAAAUCAACUGUUGAUUGGCUGGGCACACCUGUGCAGCAUACCCUCCUUAUUCUCGUCCCUGGAGCUAAAAGUUCUGCUGUCCUGCUGUGUUCGCAGAGGACAGAAAACGAGAUGUAGCUGAUUGCAGAGCUGAAACCUCUGACAGAAUGUGACAAAUGGCCUGUUUGAAAGGACAGGCACCCCACUGACAGCUUUAAGAUCUCAGGAGCAAAGAUGGACUUAAAGUAGGAAUGCCAAGAGGAGCUGCAGUCACCUCUUGCCUCAAGCCAUCAAUCAGUGUGCAUGUCUGCAUCACAGCUCCCUCGCCAGCUCAGGGACCACCAGGUACGUCUUCCAGCCCUGCUUCUUCUUUGAUUUCAGGAUGUCCCCAAAAAUGUGGUCCCCCACAUACAGGAUGUCUUUGCCCUUGACCCCAAGCAGAUCACAUAUGAUGUCAGAGGAACCUGGAUAGAGAAAAGGGGGUGGGUGUGGAGAGAGGAACAGAAGACAAAGCACAAGGAGAGGAGGCAUGCAGGUUUGUGUAUGUGUUUGUUUACAGGUAGCCUUUCUGUUUGUUUGUUUACAGGUAGCCUUUCUGCCUGUUUGUUUAUAGGUAGCCUGUUUGUGUGUUUCUUUACAGGUGCUCUGUCUGUCUGUUUGUUUGUUUACAGGUAGCCUUUCUGUUCGUUUAUAAUUCGGUUUUCUGCCUGUUUGUUUAUAGGCAGCCUUUUUAUGUGAUUCUUUACAGGUGCUCUGUCUGUCUGUUUCUUUACAGGUGGCCUUUCUGUCUGUUUGUUUAUAAUUCACCUUUCUUUAUAAUUCACCUUUCUGUCUGUUUGUUUACCGGUUGUCUUUCUGUCUGUUUACAGGUGGUCUUUCUGUCUGUUUCUUUACAGGUGGCCUUUCUGUCUGUUUAUAAUUCACCUUUCUGUCUGUUUGUUUACAGGUGGCCUUUCUGUCUGUUUAUAAUUCACCUUUCUGUCUGUUUGUUUACAGGUGGUCUUUCUGUCUGUUUGUUUACAGGUGGCCUUUCUGUCUGUUUAUAAUUCACCUUUCUGUCUGUUUGUUUACAGGUGGUCUUUCUGUCUGUUUCUUUUCAGGUGGUCUUUCUGUCUGUUUCUUUACAGGUGGUCUUUCUGUCUGUUUCUUUACAGGUCGUCUUUCUGUCUGUUUCUUUACAGGUGGCAUUGCCGUCUAUUUGUCUACAGGUGCUCUAUCUGUCUGUUUGUUUACAGAUGGCGUUUCUUUCUGUUUGUUUAUAGGUAGCCUUUCUGUCUGGUUGUUUAUAAGUGAUCUUGUCUGUUUACAGGGGUACCUUUCUGUAUUUUUGUUUGCAGAUGCUCUUUUGAUCCAUGUUUGUCCAUUCAUGGUCUUAUUGGGCAUACUAUAAUACUAGUAUAUGCUAGGCGAGUGGAUAUGCCAUAAUUAUCUGCUUAACAUCCUCAGAAAACCUCUGAAGGAGUGCUCGUUGGAACCCAAAGCAGGAUAUCUAUAGUUACGUACCUCCAGCGUAGACCGUGCCUGGCUGCAAGUCCCCUGUGUACGUCCCGAUUCGUAGCUUUCCUGUUUGCUGUGAGAGCAAGGCAACCAUGUUAGCAGAUCAGGCGCUUCUGGAGAUUCUCACUCACUCUCUGUGACCGUCCUUCAGUAGCCUGUUAUUGGUUACUGCAGGGGUCUGUAGAAAAGUUGAAGGGGGUCCACAGAAAUGUUUCGGAAAAAUGACCAAAAGAAUGUAGUAUGUGCUGGUUUGUUAAAGCCUCUCUGGUCCUUAGUUUAUAGUUACUUAUGUGGGCAAGUAUGAGUGCCAUGAUAUAUCAUAGCUAUGAUAUAAUUUCACUUCUAGGUUCCUGAGUUAGAUUACUGGGUACCUACAAGUUCAUGCUUUGUUGUACAUGUAAUAUCACCAGGCCAUGUCUUUGUGAUGACUGGUUUAUCUGAUCUUAACUAAUUAAUGGAUUUAUUUGCUAAAUAACUUUGAUAAAAUGCAGCUGUAACAUAUGUUGUCCAUCUGAAUGUGAUUGGUUGUCUUGUUGAGUCAGUAGUUAUUAAAGUCUUACCGUGUCCACCUGCCUGAGCACGGUGCCCUCCGCGAAGAAGAGAGGCUUCUUGGUGUCCACGACAAUCAGGUCGAAGAAGGUCGUCCAGUCGUGCUGUGUGAGGGACAUGAAGCAAUGUGAGAAGGUAUGAUUUGCUAAAGGGGAAAGACGAAUGUGAGAAGGUCGCGAGAGAUAGAGGGAAGAAGAGAGGGACAGAAUAAUGAGAGAAAGUGAGGAACUGGAGAAUGAGAGAAAGAGAGGAACUGAAGAUGGCGAGAAAAGAGCGACUGAUGGGGUAGAGGAAUGAAGAAAUGAUCUUUGUCUUACCUUGGGACCAUGAGGGUAAUCGAACAAGUAGCUCAUGAUAGCCUGCGAGGAAUUUGACAACACAGAACAUUAGAUCUAACCCUAACAAGCUAACCCUAAACCUAACCCUUUGGUUCAUAAUGUCAGAGGUAAUAAAUCCGUGUUUUUGACUGA